AGUUUCUUAAGGAUUAGAAGAAAUCCAUAAUACUCUCAGCAAAAUCCAUCUGAGAUGAAAUCAGAAUUUACAUUGGACCAUCAAAGACUGUGGAAAAUCUUGAAUUUAAUAAGGUACUGGAAGGUCUCCUCAAGCCUUUUCUUCUACAGGGUCUUAGGUAACUUCUUUGUGUUCUUCAAGUUUUAUAACAUCCUUUACUCUGGAAAAUUGAAAGGGCACAUCUGCAUGACACUGUGGACAAGAGAAGCAGUGUGCUUUUCAAGUGAAUCACCCAACUGUUCCCACUUGCACUUCGGCUAGUAUCACGGAGUGAACUUGGAGUGAAUGAACUGGAUUUCUUUCAGAUGGAAACUGAACUGAAGAUGUUCUCCAGGAGCACAACUGGACAGCUCAAAUGACGAAUCAUGAUCAUGGGUCAACACUAGAUUUAGUCCAGAGUGAACUCCCCACACAGGUGUAGUGUAACUGCUUAGUCCUCAGUACCAGUUGUUUUGAUUAAAUGGUCCCUCUCUACUGACUUGCUGCUCUUACACCGCAUGACUUGCCAAUAUAGACAUAGUCAGAGAUACGUAAAUGAAUAAAGUACCCAGCUCCCA